rnacentral:rRNA from 1 species
UACAGAGACUGCAAGCGUUAUUCGGAUUCACUGGGCGUAAAGGGUGCGCAGGCGGUUGGGUGUGUCAGAUGUGAAAUCCCGAGGCUUAACCUCGGAACUGCGUCUGAAACUACUCGACUAGAGUACUGGAGAGGGAAACGGAAUUCACGGUGUAGCAGUGAAAUGCGUAGAUAUCGUGAGGAACACCAGAGGCGAAGGCGGUUUCCUGGACAGUUACUGACGCUCAGGCAUGAAAGCAUGGGGAGCAAAAGGG